rnacentral:rRNA from 1 species
AUGGAGGUUGCUAUAAAAAGUACAUUGCCAACAAUGACGUACUGUUGGUGCAAAUGGCAUGUUUUGAAAAAGGCUAAAGAGACACUCGGUGGGCUGUACACAAAGAGAUCCGAGUUCAGGGCUGAAUUCCACAAGGUUGUGAACCACAUGCUCACUGUUGAUGAGUUUGAGCGGGCUUGGAAAUUGCUUCUAGAGAAGUUCAACCUGAAAACACACGGUUACAUGACUCAGAUCUACGAGGCUGGAGUUGUAUUGAAAUAUAGAAUGUCUAUAGAGAGGCAUGCAAGCAAGAUUUACACGAGAGCGAUGUUUGACCAGUUGGGGGAGUUGCUUUGCAGGGCUCAUGGUUACAAGGUUGAAGAGGUUGAGAGGAAUCAGGUGUACAGAGCUAUACAUACCCAGGCGGAGAAGCGAGAGAAGUGGGCAAGGAGUGUUUAUCAGAUCAAAAUAACUGAGAAUGUUGAUGGGAUGGAGUGCGAGUGCGGUUUAUUCGAACAUCGUGCUGCCAUCGAGAUACCGAAGAAUUUGAUCAUGAAGCGAUGGACGAGGGACAUACUGCCGGCGCAUCUCCAAGUUUACCAAAGAGACCAUGCUGGUAGCAGGACAAUGACACACAGGCACACAACACUGUAUGUGCACGCGAUGGAGCUUGUCAGGUUGGGAGAUGCAUCUGUCGAAGCUUACCAGAAAGGAAUGGAGAUAAUCAAGAAUGGGAUUGCUUCGCUGGCUGAAUAUGAAAACUGUAGGGAUGGCCUGGCAGUAGAAGACAGACCAUCAUUGCAGCAGGAUGAGCCAGCAACACAAGAUGUCACCUAG